AAAGCACUGUAGCUGCCGGAAAAAUUCAAAGUUGUCGGAAUUGAAAAGUAAAAAUAUGGAUAGGCUUGGAAUUCAAGGUUGAGCAAACUGUCCUGAAGAAAUUCUGGCUGGAAAGUACUGUAGCUGCCGGAAAAGUCAAUAAAGUCGCCGGAAAAAAUUAAAAGUUGUUGGAAUCGAACAAAAAAAGUAUGGGUAGGGUCGGAAUUGAAGGCCGACCAAACUGUCCU
rnacentral:lncRNA from 1 species